AAAAGUGUUUAUUUUUGAUUAGCCUCAUGAAUAUUUAGAUCUAGUGUGAUGGCAUUCACAGGCUUGAAUUCACUGUUACUACUGUUACUUGCUCAGACCCAUGAAAAGUGGCACAGUCACCCCACUCUCAUGGACAUGUGGAUAUUGUUAUGCAUCAAGUGGCGCUUAUCUUUGGCUUGGGGUUCAUUUGAACUCUCGAAUCUUAGUUUAGUGAAAAUGAGAUGUCUGUUCUUAGGUAGGAAAGGUGUUUAUUUAAAGCUCAAUUUUAAAAUAAGCAGCUACCAGGAGUAGUGUCUACUAUAAGUGGGACACAAAGUUUCCUAUUAAAGUAUGUCUUUGAACAUUUUGCUACACAAUACUUCAAAGAAGCACACAAAUGGGCUCACUUAUUACAAAGACAGAAGUUUACUUUGCUAAAUAUUUUAACAAGUUUGUUAUAUAUUUUAUUUAAAGAGAUCUCUUACAAUUCUACAUAUUUAUUACUAUAAUUUACAUAGCUUCAGUUAAUUUAUUUGUGUUCACAUAGUUUUAUGAAGUGUGUCCAUAUUUAUUUGCCUCCUUGGUACUUGUGUUUUGUAACAUGUACUGAAUUAUUUUCUUUUCAACUAAUGUUAAUGAUUGAUACUGUAAAUUGGGUCUUUUGUAAACAGAAACAAAGGCAGCGAUGUAUGCAUUUUUAUUUGAAGUAGUUUGUUUGUAUACUGUUUCUCCAAAUGAUUAAUAUUUCUUACAUCAAUGCAACAAAAUUGUGUUCAGUGCUGUACAUUCGGUGUAUGGUAGGAAAUAAAAAUUGAUAAUG
rnacentral:lncRNA from 1 species